GAGUUUGAUCUUGGCUCAGAUUGAACGCUGGCGGCAGGCCUAACACAUGCAAGUCGAGCGGAUGACGGGAGCUUGCUCCUUGAUUCAGCGGCGGACGGGUGAGUAAUGCCUAGGAAUCUGCCUGGUAGUGGGGGACAACGUUUCGAAAGGAACGCUAAUACCGCAUACGUCCUACGGGAGAAAGCAGGGGACCUUCGGGCCUUGCGCUAUCAGAUGAGCCUAGGUCGGAUUAGCUAGUUGGUGGGGUAAUGGCUCACCAAGGCGACGAUCAGUAACUGGUCUGAGAGGAUGAUCAGUCACACUGGAACUGAGACACGGUCCAGACUCCUACGGGAGGCAGCAGUGGGGAAUAUUGGACAAUGGGCGAAAGCCUGAUCCAGCCAUGCCGCGUGUGUGAAGAAGGUCUUCGGAUUGUAAAGCACUUUAAGUUGGGAGGAAGGGCAGUAAGUUAAUACCUUGCUGUUUUGACGUUACCGACAGAAUAAGCACCGGCUAACUCUGUGCCAGCAC
rnacentral:rRNA from 1 species